rnacentral:rRNA from 1 species
CGGGAAUUUUGGGCAAUGGGCGAAAGCCUGACCCAGCAACGCCGCGUGAGGGAUGAAGUAUUUCGGUAUGUAAACCUCGAAAGAAUGGGAAGAAUAAAUGACGGUACCAUUUAUAAGCUCCGGCUAACUACGUGCCAGCAGCCGCGGUAAUACGUAGGGAGCAAGCGUUGUUCGGAUUUACUGGGCGGAAAGGGCGCGUAGGCGGCGCGGUAAGUCACUUGUGAAAUCUCUGAGCUUAACUCAGAACGGCCAAGUGAUACUGCUGUGCUAGAGUGCGGAAGAGGCAACCGGAAUUCUUGGUGUAGCGGUGAAAUGCGUAGAUAUCAAGAGGAACACCUGAGGCGAAGGCGGGUUGCUGGGCCGACACUGACGCUGAUGCGCGAAAGCCAGGGGAGCAAACG